rnacentral:misc_RNA from 1 species
AUUAAACCGGAAACAGAUCUCCAGGUAUCGAUAGAAUCUUUGCGUCACACAGUGCGAUUACAUGGUUUACCUGGUUGUGUGUUUAUCCUGACGCAGAAUGGGCAAUGGGAUGAAUAGGGUUUUACCUGGGCUUUAUGUUGGGAAUUUCCGUGACGCCAAGGACAGUGAGCAACUCAAAGCAUACAAGAUAACCCACAUUGUGUCAAUACAUGACUUUGCCAAAAAACUAAGAGAUGAUAUAGAAUACAAGUGUGUACUGGCAAGUGAUACCCCAGAACAGAACCUGGCCCAGUUCUUCCCAGAAUGCAAUGAUUUUAUUCAUGAAGCUCGAGUCAAAGGAGGAAACGUUUUAGUUCACUGUUUAGCGGGCGUGUCUCGGAGUGUGACGGUGACAGCAGCGUACAUGAUGACGGUGACAAACUAUGAAUGGAGGGACUGUUUAAAUGCCAUCAGAGGAGCCAGGUCCUAUGCCAAUCCAAACUUCGGCUUUCAACGACAGUUACAAAAUUUUGGUGUUGAAAAAUUGGCAGCGGUAAUGAGAUUGAAAAAUCGUAUGAUUUUGAUGUUCUGAAAUUUUGAUGGUGAAAAAUUUGCAGCAAAGAUGAGACUUUAAAAUCCUAGUUUUUGAUUUUCUGAAUAAAAUUUCGAUGAUUUUUGCUGUUUUAAUUUUUAGCAAUUUACCUCCAUGAGUUAGAUGAAUGUUGCAAGUUUAUUGAUCUUUUUUGCAUAUUGCAUUGCUUUUAGGAACGAGAGAGAGUUAAAUCUAUGCAUGAGCCUGUGCCUUAUAAUGACAAUGAAGAAAUGAAGCAUCUCUUGGAUGCAUUUCAUAAGUUCGUUUUGCAUGGAGACCCGAAUCGAGAUGAUGGACUGUUAAAUCUACCUCACAAGGCUUACAAAGACCGUCCAAAGGCAAUUCAUGUAAACUCGGACAGUGAAGAGACUCAAGGUGCGAGUAAAAGUAUGGAUAAUCAAAACAACCAGUCUAAUGAAACUCAGAACCCUCAGACUGUCAGUCAGCAAACCGAAAACAACCAGUCAGAUGACACUCAGGAAUCAGAAACUUUCAGUCCGAAAACCGAAAACAACCAGUCUGGUAACACUCAAACUGUCAGUCAACAAACCGAAAACAAGUCUGGUAACCCACAGGAACCAGAUACUGUCAGUCAGCAAACCGAAAACAUCCAGGAUAAUUUGAACUAGAAUUGAAACUAUCAUAGAAGAGCUUUAUAUUCUCGCAGGACAGGACACACCCCUCAUCCCCACCCCCAAGUAUAGACCCCCAGGUCUUUACUACUGAUUUUUCCCAUUAAAUUAGGGGUAUCCUUUUGUAACACUUGGGAAUAUUUUUCUCUCAAAAUGCUUGUUUUAGGUAAUUUUUCAGAAUGAAAGAAUAAAUUAGUUUAGAGAUGUGUCAUAAAAGGAUAAUUUAAUGGAAAAGAAGAGUAAAGAUGCAGGGGUCUAUUCUUGAAGGAAUUGGGAGGGGGUGGGGGAGGGGGGUGUCCUGUCCUCGAGCACCUGUGUAGCUACUGGCUAGUGAACAAAGGUCCAACAAUUAGUGACUCCAGUCUCAUGCAUUAUAUUAUUGACAACAUUUAUGCAACACUGAUACAACUAUGCAAUAUGAAUAGUAUUAGCAUUUACAUUUACAAAUAUCUUAAGUCAUAUUUUUAUUAUUGAAGUGUACACUGUAUAAAUCUGUCGAGUGUUUUUUUUACACAAUUCAUUUAUUUUAUAAAUGGGAGUUUCUAAAAAGUUUUCUUUUUUUUGCAAGUCCAUUGUGGCUUUUCAUAUAGUUCUAGUUAUUUUUUUGGAACAUAUGUGUUUGUUUUUUAUAUUUAUUUCUGAAUCAAUUGAUUUACUGAAGUUACAUGUAAUUGUAUUGGCUAUAUCACACUUUUUGUACUGUAUUUUAGUCUUAAUUUUCUAGUUAUUUAUUGUUUGUUUAGGAAGAAGAUUGUUCUACAUAAAGUGCCAAUAAAUCUAUCUAUAGUACAUGU